GGCGAGAUGGCCGAGCGGUCCAAGGCGCUCGUUUUACGCACCAGUCCUUUCCGGAGCGCAGGUUCGCAUCCCCCUCUGGUCA
rnacentral:tRNA from 1 species